GUAUUACCUAGAGUUCCUUUCAAGCACUUCAUGAAGCAUCUUUAUGAGGGCUUAUGUGAAGUGUUUGGAGGAACUACUUUUGGUUUCAC
rfam:Triticum aestivum genome assembly, contig: Triticum_aestivum_CS42_TGACv1_scaffold_162062_2DL